CAGUAACGCGUAGUCAACCUACCCUAUGGACGGGGAUAACCUCGGGAAACUGAGAAUAAUACCAGAUAGAACAUUAUUCCUGGAAUGGUUUAUGUUUCAAAUAAUUUAUUGCCGUAGGAUGGGACUGCGGCCUAUCAGUUUGUUGGUGAGGUAAUGGCCCACCAAGACUAUUACAGGUACGGGCUCUGAGAGGAGUAGCCCGGAGAUGGGUACUGAGACACGGACCCAGGCCCUAUGGGGCGCAGCAGGCGAGAAAACUUUGCAAUGUGCGAAAGCACGACAAGGUUAAUCCGAGUGGUUACUGCUAAAGGAACCUUUUGACAGUCAUAGAACCACUGUUGAAUAAGGGGUGGGCAAGUUCUGGUGUCAGCCGCCGCGGUAAAACCAGCACCUCAAGUGGUCAGGAUGAUUAUUGGGCCUAAAGCAUCCGUAGCCUGCUUUGUCAGUUUUCGGUUAAAUCCAUACGCUCAACGUAUGGACUGCCGGGAAUACUGCACAGCUAGGGAGUGGGAGAGGUAGACGGUACUCGGUAGGAAGGGGUAAAAUCCUUUGAUCUAUUGAUGACCACCUGUGGCGAAGGCGGUCUACCAAAACACGUCCGACGGUGAGGGAUGAAAGCUGGGGGAGCAAACCGGAUUAAAUACCCGGGUAGUCCCAGCUGUAAACUAUGCAAACUCGGCGAUGCGUUGGCUUGAUGCCAAUGCAGUGCCGCAGGGAAGCCGUUAAGUUUGCCGCCUGGGAAGUACGUACGCAAGUAUGAAACUUAAAGGAAUUGGCGGGGGAGCACCACAAGGGGUGAAGCCUGCGGUUCAAUUGGAGUCAACGCCAGAAAUCUUACCCGGAGAGACAGCAGAAUGAAGGUCAAGCUGAAGACUUUACCAGACAAGCUGAGAGGUGGUGCAUGGCCGUCGCCAGCUCGUGCCGUGAGAUGUCCUGUUAAGUCAGGUAACGAGCGAGAUCCCUGCCUCUAGUUGCCACCAUUACUCUCAGGAGUAGUGGGGCGAAUUAGCGGGACCGCCGUAGUUAAUACGGAGGAAGGAAGGGGCCACGGCAGGUCAGUAUGCCCCGAAACUCUGGGGCCACACGCGGGCUGCAAUGGUAAUGACAAUGUGUUCCGAAUCCGAAAGGAAAGGCAAUCAAGAACAUUACCACAGUUAUGACUGAGGCUGCACUCGCCUCAC
rnacentral:rRNA from 1 species